UGCAGGCGCUGCGGAAGAAGCGGCACUGGCACGAGGCGCACGGGUCGCAGCAGGCGGGCGCAGGCGGCUUGCAGCUGUCUCGGGUGGCCACGCAGGGCGUCGGGGGCGGGGGCCGUGCCUCCUUCUUCAGCGAAGCGUUCAUCUGUAGGAAAGACGUCGAGGGCUCCUGAGCGGGCCACACUGGGCCCAUGCGUCCCCAUCUGCUGUGGAGGUCUGGGGCCAGAGAUCUCUGCCCUGCUGCCCAGCUCUGCUCAUACGCACAGGCCAUCCUGAUGGGUCCCUGGCCGCCACCCUAUCAUGCACACCGCCUACAUCUUCAGGCUCACCUAGCUCCGACCUGGCCCUUGGGAGAUCACUCAGCCCCAAGUUUAAACACCUCCGGCUUCUCUUCAAGUCUCAUCCACCAUCCCUAUCAUCCCCUGCCACUCAUAACCUUCUUCCCCUUAGCGGCCCUGUCCUCUAGAGUUACCAUCCUCCAGUGCACCAAGGAAGGCCCUUUCUAUGGCCAUAUCAUAGGAAAAAAAUAUAUCCAUAAAUACAUAUAUAUACACACACACAUACACAUACAUAGGGAAUAUAUAUAUUCCCAUUGUGGGAAUUGAACUCAGGCCUUUUGUUGUAAGCAAACUUUACUACUUCACUAUACCCCCCCCCCACCCUUUUUAAAAUGUUUAUUUUGUGACAGAGUCUUUUUGCCCAGAUGGGCCUUGAAUUUGCUGGCUAGCUCCAGCAGCCCUUGAACUGGGGGUCCCCCUGUUUCAGCCUCCUGAGCAGCUGAGAUUACAAGCCUGUGCUGCUAGGUUCAGCGAACCGUGUUUUAUUUUCAUUGAGUCUUUUAUUCUGGCUACAGCAAGUGAUUCUAGUUUUCUGUCAUACUUCUGUUUUUCAGUGGUUGUGCAGCCCAGGCUCAUUGAGAACUUGGCGUGUAGUUUGGGAUGGCCGUGAACUCCUGGUCUUCCUCGCUUCCACCUCCCACAUACUGGGAGUACAGCUGUGUGCCAGGACACCCGACUUCUAUUUUCUAAUCUUGGCAUUUCUGAUUUUUAAGCAGCAGGUAGCUGUCUUGCUCAGUGAACUUAGGCUCUCUGGCUUGAAUGGAAGUCUGCCACAAGGCUCUAGGCCAGGAAACCGCUAGGAAGUUUUCAGUUAUUUUGUUUCAGUAGAUCUGGAGAUACCUCCCGUUUGGUGCUCAGCGUUGGCUUACAGGUCUCCCACUCCACUGUGAGAACUCCCAGGCCUACCUUGGACGAUCUCUUCCGUUUCUCGGCUUCUUUUCUGCUGAUCCUCUUGGAUUUCUUGUUCAGUGCUUCAAAGAAAGACAGAUGGAGCAAAGCCAGAUGUUACUGGGGGCCCCCCGAGUUGUGAAGUGGGAGGAGCAGAGGGGGCUCUGAGAAGUCUGAGUGGGACAAAGAGGGACUUCGGGAUGAGUCACGUUAUGGGAAUUCAACCAGCAGGUUCUUAUUAGCCUGGCUUCAGAGCUAAAGAGCAGUGUGCUCCGAGUGGAGGCAAAGAGGAAAUCCAAGAGGGACCAGAGACCUGUCUGUGGCAUCUGUUAGGGACCUAGACCUAGUCUUUUGACCUUGCUGGCCCUUGAUCACCCUGUUUUAGCCUUUAACCUUGUAGGUGCAAGAACAUUGUGAGCCUCUGAAAAUGGGACUCAGCCUUUUAUUACUGGACACAUCUGUGUUACACAUAUACAUACAUACAUACAUACAUACAUACAUACAUACAUACAUACUACUCUCAAAGCACAGAGCCAGGCACAUCUGCCUUGAAUCCACAUAACAGCUGUGUGGUCUCCCUGGUAAUCAGUUUCCUCAUCUACAAAAAAGGUUCUAUCAUAAGUAUGUUUAUAAAACAAAAAGUCUGACAUGGGGCUGGAGAGAUGGCUCAGCUGUUAAGAGCACUUGGUGCACUUCCAGAGGACCCAGGUUUGCUUCUCAGCACUGACAUGGUGACUCACAACUGCCUAUAACUCCAGUUCCAGGGGCUCUGAGGGUACUAGGCCUGCACAUACAAGAAGGCAGAGCACCCAUUUACAUAGAAGUAAAAUAUUUUUUAAAAGUCUGACAUCCAUGGUGAGAAAGGAAUAUUGGUGUCUCUCCUUUUCCCUCCUUUGACUUCCCAGACUAGAGGUUCUCCACCUGUGGGUUGUGACCACUUUGGCAAACCCCAUGUCCAAAAAUAUUUUCAUUACAACUCCUAACAGUAGCAAAAUGACAGUUACGAAGUAGCAAUGACGAUAACGGAGGGUCACCGCAACAUGAGGAACUGCACUAAAGGGUUGCAGCAUUAGGAAGGGUGAGAAUGGCUGCUCUAGACCCUCUUUGUGCCCAGUGAAAUGCAAGUCAAUGAGUUGUGAGCUCACAUGUAUAAUUCGCCUGUUUGAGUUCUGGCUCUGCCUAUUGGGAACUAAUGUCUGUAAGCUCCAGUCUCGUCAGUGGUAAAAUAUAA